GAUGAACGCUGGCGGCGUGCCUAAUACAUGCAAGUCGAGCGAACAGACGAGGAGCUUGCUCCUCUGACGUUAGCGGCGGACGGGUGAGUAACACGUGGAUAACCUACCUAUAAGACUGGGAUAACUUCGGGAAACCGGAGCUAAUACCGGAUAAUAUAUUGAACCGCAUGGUUCAAUAGUGAAAGACGGUUUUGCUGUCACUUAUAGAUGGAUCCGCGCCGCAUUAGCUAGUUGGUAAGGUAACGGCUUACCAAGGCGACGAUGCGUAGCCGACCUGAGAGGGGAAUCGGCCAAACUGGAACGGAGAAACGGCCAGGACUCCUACGGGAGGCACCAGUGGGAAAUCUUCCGAAAUGGGCGAAGGCCUAACGAAGAAACGCGGGGUAGGGAAGAAGGGUCUUCGGUUCGAAAACCCCUUUUAUUGGGAAAAAAAAAUGUUGUAGGUAACUAGGAACGUUUGACGGUAACCUAAUAAAAAAGCCCGGCUAAAUUAGGG
rnacentral:rRNA from 1 species